UACGUAGGGGGCUAGCGUUGUCCGGAUUUAUUGGGCGUAAAGAGCUCGUAGGUGGUUCGGUAAGUCGGAUGUGAAAUCUCCAGGCUCAACCUGGAGGGGUCAUUCGAUACUGCCGUGACUAGAGGUCGGUAGGGGAGUGUGGAAUUCCUGGUGGAGCGGUGAAAUGCGGAGAUAUCAGGAGGAACACCCGUAGCGAAGGCGGCACUCUGGGCCGAUACUGACACUGAGGAGCGAAAGCGUGGGGAGCGAACAGG
rnacentral:rRNA from 1 species